CCUACGGGAGGCAGCAGUGAGGAAUAUUGGUCAAUGGACGCAAGUCUGAACCAGCCAUGCCGCGUGCAGGAAGACGGCCCUAUGAGUUGUAAACUGCUUUUGUACGAGGGUAAACGCAGAUACGCGUAUCUGUCUGAAAGUAUCGUACGAAUAAGGAUCGGCUAACUCCGUGCCAGCAGCCGCGGUAAUACGGAGGAUUCAAGCGUUAUCCGGAUUUAUUGGGUUUAAAGGGUGCGUAGGCGGUCGGAUAAGUUAGGGGUGAAAGCCCGAGGCUCAACUGCGGAAUUGCCUCUGAUACUGGUCGGCUAGAGUGUAGUAGCGGUAGGCGGAAUGUAUGGUGUAGCGGUGAAAUGCUUAGAUAUCAUGCAGAACACCGAUUGCGAAGGCAGCUUACCAGGCUACUACUGACGUUGAGGCACGAAAGCGUGGGGAGCAAACAGGAUUAGAUACCCUAGUAGUC
rnacentral:rRNA from 1 species